rnacentral:misc_RNA from 1 species
UUUCCGUAGGUGAACCUGCGGAAGGAUCAUUAUUGAAACUUCAUCCGGGGCGCCGCGGCCCUCAGCUCCGGUGGAAACGUCGUGCUGCGUGGGCCGCGCGUGCACUCGUCCAAACCAAACCCCUGUGAACCUUACGGGAUGGCCCGGUUUAGCGUCCGGUGCCGUUCCGCUUUAUACAAUCACUUAUCAAAGAAUGAACUGAAGGCGGUCUGACCGCUGGAUAACAAACUGAAACAACUUUCAACAACGGAUCUCUUGGCUCUC